rnacentral:rRNA from 1 species
CCUACGGGUGGCAGCAGUGAGGAAUAUUGGUCAAUGGACGCUAGCCUGAACCAGCCAAGUAGCGUGAAGGAUGACUGCCCUAUGGGUUGUAAACUUCUUUUAUAUGGGAAUAAAGUGCUCUAUGUAUACGUCUUUGUAUGUACCUUAUGAAUAAGGAUCGGCUAACUCCGUACCAGCAGCCGCGGUAAUACGGAGGAUCCGAGCGUUAUCCGGAUUUAUUGGGUUUAAAGGGAGCGUAGGUGGUUUGUUAAGUCAGUUGUGAAAGUUUGCGGCUCAACCGUAAAAUUGCAGUUGAUACUGGCAGUCUGGAGUACAGUAGAGGUAGGCGGAAUUCGUGGUGUAGCGGUGAAAUGCUUAGAUAUCACGAAGAACUCCGAUUGCGAAGGCAGCUCGCUGGACUGUAACUGACGCUGAGGCUCGAAAGUGUGGGUAUCAAACAGGAUUAGAUACCCUUGUAGUC